ACACACAGUGUUUUUUGUUAUUACAAGAACUUUUGCUUUGGUCUGGACUAGAAAUAGUUUGGGCCAGAGGUUUACUGAACUAAACUUCAAUAUUUAUAUUGAAUUGUUAUUUAUUUAAUUGUCAAUUUGUUGAUUAAAUUCAAAAAAUCUUCAAAACUUUCAACAACGGAUCUCUUGGUUCUCGCAUCGAUGAAGAACGCAGCGAAAUGCGAUAAGUAAUAUGAAUUGCAGAUUUUCGUGAAUCAUCGAAUCUUUGAACGCACAUUGCGCCCUCUGGUAUUCCAGAGGGCAUGCCUGUUUGAGCGUCAUUUCUCUCUCAAACCUUCGGGUUUGGUAUUGAGUGAUACUCUUAGUCGAACUAGGCGUUUGCUUGAAAUGUAUUGGCAUGAGUGGUACUGGAUAGUGCUAUAUGACUUUCAAUGUAUUAGGUUUAUCCAACUCGUUGAAUAGUUUAAUGGUAUAUUUCUCGGUAUUCUAGGCUCGGCCUUACAAUAUAACAAACAAGUUUGACCUCAAAUCAGGUAGGAUUACCCGCUGAACUUAAGCAUAUCAAUAAGCGGAGGAAAAGAAACCAACAGGGAUUGCCUUAGUAACGGCGAGUGAAGCGGCAAAAGCUCAAAUUUGAAAUCUGGCACCUUCGGUGUCCGAGUUGU
rnacentral:rRNA from 1 species